UGAAGACGAGUACACACUAUCAAUUAUGGCCCAUUAGGGUACAUUCGACUCAUGGAAUAAUAAGUUUAUUAAUCGAUAAAAUUAAUAAGAUUAAAAUACAUAUUUCUACAAACAUGCAAUAUACAUUGUUUCCACGGCUUGGCCGAAUCAGUCGGCUAAGAAUUUGAGCCGAUGAGAGCCGCAUACAUUGGCGGCGGCUCAGAUCACUUAAAAAACACGGCGGCGGCUAUGCGCCGACUGCAAGCCGUUCGGCUUCGUGCUCUGAACGCAAGGAUAUAUCUCAAGAAUAAAAACAACAAUCUCUCUAAUGGAUUCGGCUAAGCUAGAUAAAUACGUGGACGACGAUGUAUUUAGUUCCAUAUAAAGUGGGGUUUGUACUUUGGAGCAUUUUUCCAAUUAGCAUGUAUUUUGACAUCGAUUUUGCUGCCAUAUACUUCACAUCACGACCAGGAAAUCUCAACAGAGGACCCUAAAACGAACAGCAGCGGCGAGUCACAACCUGUAAAUCGAAGGUUGCACAAAAUUCGGAAGCAAGAAAAAAAAAAAGACGUUAGCUACUUAUAUGAUCUGCAUCCUGGGCCAUUAAAUUUUUCUAAUGGCUCCUCCUAUGUUAUAACUUAAUUUUAGUAAAAACAUAUUUCCAUUUUUAAAACCAAGAUAUUUGUAUUUAUCCUUCUAUUUCACAAAUAAGAAAUGAAAACUGAUUAUUAUUCACUAAUAAACAACCUACCGUAGAAAGGUUUAUAUGCAUA